UUGGUCAUUUAGAGGAAGUAAAAGUCGUAACAAGGUUUCCGUAGGUGAACCUGCGGAAGGAUCAUUAAAGAGUAAGGGUCUCACGGCCCGACCUCCAACCCUCUGUUGUUAUAACUAUACCGUUGCUUCGGCGGCCGCAGCCCGCAAGGGCUGAGCCAGUCUCACGACCGGCGAGCGCCGCCGGAGUCUAACCAAACUCUUGUUUUUAACCAGUCGUCUGAGUAAAAAUUUUAAUUAAAUUAAAACUUUCAACAACGGAUCUCUUGGUUCUCGCAUCGAUGAAGAACGCAG
rnacentral:rRNA from 1 species